GAAAUGUAGACUUUACUGAAUAUGUCAUAGAGGAGACUUAGGAGAAGGUUGACAUAGCAUACUGCUCAGCAGAUGACUUAAAAUUUUCCCUUAGCCAUUUUUGUUCUCUCAGGUCCCUCUCAUCCAUACCACCACUGCUGAUUUUUUCUUUCUUUUUUUCUUUUAAAUCUUUUCUAGCUUUUUUUCUGACAAACUUUGCUGGAUUCCUACUCCUUUUCUCUCCUUCUUGAGAAAAAUGCAAAUUUUGCUCCAUAUUUUGGUCUGGCAGGGAAGCUUCCAUCUUUUCUUACUGAAGCAUAGCCUCAGGGCCUACAUUCCAUCUCAAAUGGCUUGUCAAGGUGCUCCUCCAAAGGUGAUGUACGGAUGCCAAGUUGGACACAGCUAGAGAAAUCCCAUGUGGCUAUCCCAAGCAGGAGAGGACGUUGCUGUUUCUCAGAAGUCCUCCCCACUUUCAGGGUCAUAAUUGUCUGUCAACAACUUUGUGGGAAUUCAAAAACUCUCCACGGAACUGGUUUUCUGAGAGGUGUUUGAAGCAGGAAUAUAUCACGCAGGAGAUGGAGCAGCCAUUCCCUGGCUAGAUGACCACAUCACUAUUACACACUGAUUGUUUGCUAAAGGCACAAUACCUUCCUGGCAGGAAAUGAAAAACGCCUGCUGCUCAAUUAUUGUCAGUCUAAUUGAUAUAGAGUUCAGGCCUCGUCAGAUGGCUUCCCAAACACCCAGACGGUCUCUUAGAUUCUGGAUGGUUAGUCUCUUAGAUUCAGGUGGUCAACAGUAAGUUUUUUUUUUUUUUUUCUUAUCCUCGUUGGCAACAUGACAUUUCUUCUGGGUCAUGGUA